GUAGGUGGCAAGCGUUGUCCGGAAUUAUUGGGCGUAAAGCGCGCGCAGGCGGUUCUUUAAGUCUGAUGUGAAAGCCCACGGCUCAACCGUGGAGGGUCAUUGGAAACUGGAGAACUUGAGUACAGAAGAGGAAAGCGGAAUUCCACGUGUAGCGGUGAAAUGCGUAGAGAUGUGGAGGAACACCAAUGGCGAAGGCGGCUUUUCUGGUCUGUAACUGACGCUGAGGCGCGAAAGCGUGGGGAGCAAACAGGGAUUAGAUACCCUGGUAGUCCACGCCGUAAACGAUGAGUGCUAAGUGUUAGGGGGUUUCCGCCCCCUUAGUGCUGCAGCUAACGCAUUAAGCACUCCGCCUGGGGAGUACGGCCGCAAGGCUG
rnacentral:rRNA from 1 species